UGGACUUAUUUUGCGUGAGAGCCCCCGUGCGCUCCGUGGGGUCAAGGCCUCCAUGAUCAGCCCAGUGGUUUGGGGAGACCCUCGGCCUUGAGAGCCUGACACCUUCGGCUUCUUGGAGGGGGGCGGGGAGGGCGGCUGGAGCGGCAGGAAGUCUCGGAUAUGGUCAGAGAGUUUUUCAAAAGGGAGAAAGGGGGUGUCAGGAUGAUAACAAUAAAUAUAGCAGCGAGAAGAUGGCAUUUGUAGGGAGGAGCUUCUCUGUCAUUGGUGUAUUGGGGCGUCCGCCCUUCUAGAAGGUAAUGGAGGCUGCUCUGUUUUCCCGGGACAGGUUUUUUGUUUUUCUUUUUCCACUGUAAGGGAUACCGCAUUCUUUCCUUUGUUAGGCAGAUAUAGGUAAAACAGGCUUUCAUUUCUUUUUUCAUUCAGUAAUGUUUUAUGCUCAAGAAAACAACUGCCCGGAGGGGAGCCAGGAAUGCACGGCUGGGAACUUCCGAAUGAGUCUUCUGAGGACUGUGGGGGUGUUAUCUUUGUUUCCUUUAAAAGUGGCCCUUGAGAAAUAAGGCGAGAAAAACUGUGCUGCUUUUUGUAGCGUCUUCCCUCAGGAGGUAGAGGAGUGAGUCAUCGUGGCAAUGUGCUAAGAGAAAAUGUUUUUCAAGCAGGGGAAGGUAACACAGGAGUCCUCGACUGCAGAGUUGCUUAGAAACAAGACGAGAAUCGCGGGGCUGGUUUUAAAUGAUACUUGCUUCUGACACAUUUUUCAAGCAGAGGCCUCCCGGGAUUAUUUUUUGCCUCGGAAAUACGCUGCGAGGAGGGAACAUUUCAGGUUCAGGACUAAUGCUCACACUGAAGUGCCUGAGAAGGAGGUGGGACUGCUCUGAGUCUCUUGGAAACUAGAGAAGGAAGGAUUUUCCCCACUGACGUUUGAGAAGUCACUCGAGAAAACACUGUUGUCGAAAUAAAAGGGUUACCAGGCACAAAGAUUCCAGUCGGUGGGUGGGAGGGCGGGAGCAUCCCACCUUGAUGGCCUGAGCUAACCUCAAAGUAAAGACAGCAGGAACUACAACAUAAGAGAAUGGCAAAAUUCUUGUUUCAUAUGUAAAGUUAAGAGUGAUUAAUGGCUAAUCAAUCAUUUACUGUAGUUUGUCCUUUGUUGUUAUUUUGUGCAUAAGACCUGGCUUAUCUCUCAACGGGCUUGCUAACUUUUUUAUUUAUCUCCUGGCAUCAUUUUCUGUGCAGAACUGGAAUAAAACAAUUAUCUCGA